UAUUUUGAAUCCAAAAUCCCAAACAGUUCUCCCUAUGAUGCCUUUCAUAGGAUGAUCUCCUGCUCUUGCAGUUUGACAACAAGUUUAAUCAUACUGUCCAUAUUUGAUGUACUUUGAAUAAACCUUAAAAUUAGUCUCGACCUUUAGUUUCUAUCUUUUCCCUAAUAUCAUCAAUAAAUUGUUUAUGUCAUCAGUUAAUAAGUUUCCUAAUAUCAGGACAAUGGACAAAUCAUGGAUGAAAAAAAAUAGAUUGUCUGAGGAUUAUGAGUUAGGAGUCGAGUCAUUCAUUGAAUUGGGUUCCAUCAUGUAAAUGGUUCUAAGGUUAUUCGUUGUCCCUGCUUGAAAUGUGGAAAUCGUAUAGAUAAGGAUGUUGCAACCAUUAGAAAUCACUUGUACAAAUACGGUAUUGAUCAGAGCUAUAGGGUAUGGUUUUGGCAUGGUGAAGAACAUGCACUUAGAAUAGAUGAAGAUAGGUUGAAUGGUGAGUUCAAUAAGAAUCCCAAAGAUGAUAAUGAUUUGUUCGAUGUGAUUAACAUGGUUCAGAUUGUUUAAGAUGGAAUUUCACAUGUACCCGAAAUCGUUUGAAAAUAUGUUUGAUAAUGCUAAGAAACCAUUAUACCCUAGAUGUAAAAAGUUCACGAAGUUGUCAGCUUUAGUAAGAUUAUACAACCUGAAUAUUUCGUACGUGCUAAUAAGUACUUAUUAACUUGAAUUUGUAGAGAUUGUUGGACGUUGAUAGUGAUGUCUCCCACAAAGAAUAUGAUAUUUUUUCUUGACUCGAUGAGAAAUCGCCUAACAGAUGAUAUUCUUAGUGUCAUCACCAUCAUGUGGGAGCGAGGGUUGAAGGAAGCAGGGGCGAGAGUUUUUGUAAUAUGUUAGCUACAUUUUGUAGUUUGACCUUUUACGUUUACACGGUCUUCCAAGAAGAGCCUGGAGAACCAUGGCGGAUAACUACUUGGAAUAUUUAAAAGAUGACUGUUGGG